AACGAACGCUGGCGGCAUGCCUAACACAUGCAAGUUGAACGAGACCUUCGGGUCUAGUGGCGCACGGGUGCGUAACGCGUGGGAAUCUACCCUCAGGUUCGGAAUAACUCAGAGAAAUUUGAGCUAAUACCGGAUGAUGACGUAAGUCCAAAGAUUUAUCGCCUGAGGAUGAGCCCGCGUAGGAUUAGGUAGUUGGUGAGGUAAAGGCUCACCAAGCCGACGAUCCUUAGCUGGUCUGAGAGGAUGAUCAGCCACACUGGGACUGAGACACGGCCCAGACUCCUACGGGAGGCAGCAGUGGGGAAUAUUGGACAAUGGGCGAAAGCCUGAUCCAGCAAUGCCGCGUGAGUGAUGAAGGCCUUAGGGUUGUAAAGCUCUUUUACCCGGGAUGAUAAUGACAGUACCGGAAGAAUAAGCUCCGGCUAACUCCGUG
rnacentral:rRNA from 1 species